rnacentral:rRNA from 1 species
GACGAACGCUGGCGGCGUGCUUAACACAUGCAAGUCGAGCGGUAAGGCCCUUUCGGGGGUACACGAGCGGCGAACGGGUGAGUAACACGUGGGUGACCUGCCCUUAGCUCUGGGAUAAGCCUGGGAAACUGGGUCUAAUACCGGAUAUGACUCCAUGACGCAUGUUGGUGGGGUGGAAAGCCUUGUGCGGCUAGGGAGUGGGCCCGCGGCCUAUCAGCUUGUUGGUGGGGUGAUGGCCUACCAAGGCGACGACGGGUAGCCGGCCUGAGAGGGCGACCGGCCACACUGGGACUGAGACACGGCCCAGACUCCUACGGGAGGCAGCAGUGGGGAAUCUUGCGCAAUGGGCGAAAGCCUGACGCAGCGACG